rnacentral:misc_RNA from 1 species
UUAAGUUCAGCGGGUAUCCCUACCUGAUCCGAGGUCAAAAGUUGAAAAAAGGCUUUGUGGAUGCUGACCUUGGCUGGAAGAGAGCGCGACUUGUGCUGCGCUCCGAAACCAGUAGGCCGGCUGCCAAUUGCUUUAAGGCGAGUCUCCAGCGAACUGGAGACAAGACGCCCAACACCAAGCAAAGCUUGAGGGUACAAAUG